ACCUUCAUGGUUCAUACCCCUUUUCUUGGUUUUGACACCACUUUUAUCUUUCUGUUCUUGGUUAUGACACCACAUUUUGGGUUAAUCAGCUUCAUGGUUCACACCCAUUUUAUUGGUUUUGACACCACUUUUAUCUUUCUUUUCUUGGUUAUGACACCAUAAUUUGGGUUAAUCACCUUCAUGGUUAACACCUCUUUCCCUGUUUUGACAUCAUUUCUCUACCUCUUUUUUGCCUAGGUUUAAACACCGUUUCAGUCAGUUUCUAGUCUUUUCCAGUUUAAACACCACCUUCGAUCAUAUAUUUCUUCCAGUCUUAGUC
rnacentral:lncRNA from 1 species